GAUGAACGCUGGCGGCGUGCUUAACACAUGCAAGUCGAACGAUGAACCGGGUGCUUGCACUCGGGGAUUAGUGGCGAACGGGUGAGUAACACGUGAGCAACCUGCCCCUGACUCUGGGAUAAGCGCUGGAAACGGCGUCUAACACUGGAUAUGUCCCGUCACCGCAUGGUGGGCGGGUGGAAAGAUUUUUCGGUUGGGGAUGGGCUCGCGGCCUAUCAGCUUGUUGGUGAGGUAAUGGCUCACCAAGGCGUCGACGGGUAGCCGGCCUGAGAGGGUGACCGGCCACACUGGGACUGAGACACGGCCCAGACUCCUACGGGAGGCAGCAGUGGGGAAUAUUGCACAAUGGGCGGAAGCCUGAUGCAGCAACGCCGCGUGAGGGAUGACGGCCUUCGGGUUGUAAACCUCUUUUAGCAGGGAAGAAGCGAGAGUGACGGUACCUGCAGAAAAAGCACCGGCUAACUACGUGCCAGCCGCCGCGGUAA
rnacentral:rRNA from 1 species